GCAGCAGCAGCACCCCCGCUAUGGAGCAAUUCUGGUGACUCACCAAAGGGAGUUCCCUUCUUCUUGGUUUCUGCCUUACAAAUGUAACUCUUCAGCAUUGCCUUAGUGGUGCCGAUUGCCAAGAUCUGAGCAAGGCAUCUCUUCUUUGAGCAAGAUGAGCCAUGAAACAGUUCCUUUUAGGGCAACUGGUCCAUGAAACUUGCAUACCUGAUGCUAUCAUGGAGACCCCACACCAACAAUGCCUGAAGAUGCUGGACCAGAUAGAGGUUUAUGUUGCGGAUACAAUUUGCAGCACCAAAUCCAUUUUCCGUUCUUUGUCUCCACCCCCCCUCCCUUGCAGUGAGCAGCUGAACAUUAAAUUGGCAGCAAAAUCCAUUGCAGACCCCUCCAGAGACUCAUUAAAGACCCAGAUAACUCUGACAUUGAGCACAAUGACUUCUGCUUGAUCGGCUAUGCCAAUUUCUCAGAUGUACAGAAGGCAAAAUGGGAAACAUAUUUCUUAUUAGGGCACACAUGUAAUGAGGCAAUUGCUAAAAUGCUCUGGACAAGACUACCUAUUAGAUGUUUCUUGCAGUAUGACUACUUUUGAACCAAGUGGGUUUCAGCUCAAGGCGGAAUGAAUUGACAUUUCAGUUUGACACUGUUACUAUUGGUGGCAGUUAAGUAAAUGAUCCUGUUAGGAUCCCAUGCUUUAAAAAAACCAUACCCUAUGACAAAAAUCUAAUAAAUAAUCAUACUGACAGGA